UACGUAGGGGCGAGCGUUGUCCGGAAUGAUUGGGCGUAAAGGGCGCGUAGGCGGCUGUGCAAGUCAGUAGUGGAAGCCCAGCUUUUAAGGUUGGAAGUGCUAUUGAAACUGUGCAGCUUGAGUGCAGGAGAGGUUAUCGGAAUUCCCGGUGUAGCGGUGAAAUGCGUAGAGAUCGGGAGGAACACCAGUGGCGAAGGCGGGUGACUGGACUGCAACUGACGCUGAGGCUCGAAAGCGUGGGGAGCAAACAGGAUUAGAUACCCCU
rnacentral:rRNA from 1 species